rnacentral:rRNA from 1 species
GACGAACGCUGGCGGCGUGCUUAACACAUGCAAGUCGAACGGAAAGGCCCUUCGGGGUACUCGAGUGGCGAACGGGUGAGUAACACGUGGGUGAUCUGCCCUGCACUUUGGGAUAAGCCUGGGAAACUGGGUCUAAUACCGAAUAGGACCACGCGCUUCAUGGUGUGUGGUGGAAAGCUUUUGCGGUGUGGGAUGGGCCCGCGGCCUAUCAGCUUGUUGGUGGGGUAAUGGCCUACCAAGGCGACGACGGGUAGCCGGCCUGAGAGGGUGACCGGCCACACUGGGACUGAGAUACGGCCCAGACUCCUACGGGAGGCAGCAGUGGGGAAUAUUGCACAAUGGGCGCAAGCCUGAUGCAGCGACGCCGCGUGAGGGAUGACGGCCUUCGGGUUGUAAACCUCUUUCAAUAGGGACGAAGCGCAAGUGACGGUACCUAUAGAAGAAGCACCGGCCAACUACGUGCCAGCAGCCGCGGUAAUACGUAGGGUGCGAGCGUUGUCCGGAAUUACUGGGCGUAAAGAGCUCGUAGGUGGUUUGUCGCGUUGUUCGUGAAAACUCACAGCUUAACUGUGGGCGUGCGGGCGAUACGGGCAGACUAGAGUACUGCAGGGGAGACUGGAAUUCCUGGUGUAGCGGUGGAAUGCGCAGAUAUCAGGAGGAACACCGGUGGCGAAGGCGGGUCUCUGGGCAGUAACUGACGCUGAGGAGCGAAAGCGUGGGGAGCGAACAGGAUUAGAUACCCUGGUAGUCCACGCCGUAAACGGUGGGUACUAGGUGUGGGUUCCUUCCUUGGGAUCCGUGCCGUAGCUAACGCAUUAAGUACCCCGCCUGGGGAGUACGGCCGCAAGGCUAAAACUCAAAGGAAUUGACGGGGGCCCGCACAAGCGGCGGAGCAUGUGGAUUAAUUCGAUGCAACGCGAAGAACCUUACCUGGGUUUGACAUGCACAGGACGCCGGCAGAGAUGUCGGUUCCCUUGUGGCCUGUGUGCAGGUGGUGCAUGGCUGUCGUCAGCUCGUGUCGUGAGAUGUUGGGUUAAGUCCCGCAACGAGCGCAACCCUUGUCCUAUGUUGCCAGCGGGUUAUGCCGGGGACUCGUAGGAGACUGCCGGGGUCAACUCGGAGGAAGGUGGGGAUGACGUCAAGUCAUCAUGCCCCUUAUGUCCAGGGCUUCACACAUGCUACAAUGGCCGGUACGAAGGGCUGCGAUGCCGUGAGGUGGAGCGAAUCCUUUCAAAGCCGGUCUCAGUUCGGAUCGGGAUCUGCAACUCGACCCCGUGAAGUCGGAGUCGCUAGUAAUCGCAGAUCAGCAACGCUGCGGUGAAUACGUUCCCGGGC